rnacentral:rRNA from 1 species
GACGAACGCUGGCGGCGUGCUUAACACAUGCAAGUCGAACGGAAAGGCCUGCUUUCCCUUGUGGAUUGCGGGUACUCGAGUGGCGAACGGGUGAGUAACACGUGAGUGAUCUGCCCCCAACUUGGGUAUAAGCCUGGGAAACUGGGUCUAAUUCCCGAUAGGACUGCAGGGUGGUGCCUGUGGUGGAAAACGAUUUUCUAGUGGUUGGGGAUGAGCUCGCGGCCUAUCAGCUUGUUGGUGGGGUAAUGGCCUACCAAGGCGGCGACGGGUAGCCGGCCUGAGGGGGGGGACGGGCAAGUGGGGAAGGGGACACGGCCCAGACCCCAGCGGGAGGGAGCAGGGGGGAAUAUUGCAAAAUGGGGGGAAGCCUGAGGGAGGGGCGCCGGGGGGGGGAUGCGGGCCUUGGGGUUGAAAACCCCUUUCGGCCGGGGGGAAGCCACCUGGUUGGAAGGGGGGGGACGGUAGGGGUAGAAGAAGCACCGGAUAACUACGU